AAAAUGCAAGAACAAAAAUACUGGAGUUUUUCUGUGGAACAUUUCCAAAUGACAUCAGUUUGACCAUUUGUAGAAAAUAGAAAGCUGUGAAAACAACCCAACAUGUUUCUGAUAAUAUUUCAGUUUGGCAUGAAUUGAAAUACUAUCAGCUUUUAUGAUGCUGAUAAGAUAACACCUCUACAGAACCUAUCUAACUGUGCAUUAGCAUUCUCUCAAGAUGCUCUCAGAUGCUGAAAGAAAUCAUAUUUCGACACUCCUGAUCCUGAGUCCAAAUUUAGCCUACAUCAAAGACAACAGGUGUAGACUUUACUUUGAAAUACUUACUUACGAGCCCUUUCCCAGCAAUGCAGAAUUAAAAAGUAAGAAACGAUUAGCAAAAAAAAAAAAAUAGUAACACAAUAAAAUAACAAUAAUAGCUUGUGUACAUUAGUACUCUGUGCCGCUUGCCACUCCGGCCGCCCAGAGUGGCUCACUUGUGGGUGUGCUGGCAGCAUAUAGCAGCACGUUCGACUGUGCAUCAAGAAUUCAGCAUAGCAAGUUUGUAUGAAGGUCUGGUUGGUAAAUAGUUUAAUCCAUUCUUUAUUUCAUUCAUUUAUUCACAGGUAAAUAGUAAUAUGCUCUAAACCGCUCUGGUGACAAACAAACUUUGCUGUCCUGUUUCCAAUCGUUCACAUGGCUGGGAGAACCUUUUCAAAUACAGAGAGCUUUGAAAGCCUGUCUGCAGAUGAAGAGGUCCCAAUGAAGAGCAGUGGUUCUCAGUCCUGGUCCUGGGGACUCAGAGGGGUGCACAUUUGAGUUUUUAGCUUAGCACUACAGAGCGGAUUCAAAUGAUCAACUCAUCAUCAAGCUUCAAGUGGUAUUUAUGUACAGUUGAAGUCGGAAGUUUGCAUAUACUUAGGUUGGAGUCAUUAAAACUAGUUUUUCAACCACCACAAAUUUCUUGUUAACAAACUAUAGUUUUGGCAAGUCGGUUAGGACAUCUUCUUUGUGCAUGACAAAUCUUUCCAACAAUUGUUUACAGACAGAUAAUUUCGCUUGUAAUUUACUGUAUCACAAUACCAGUGGGUCAGAAGUUUACAUAAACUACAUUUCCAAGCUGCCUUUAAACAGCUUGGAAAAUUCCAUAAAAUUAUGUAAUGGCUUUAGAAGCUUCUGAUAGGCUAAUUGACAUCAUUUGAGUCAAUUGGAGGUGUACCUGUACAUGUAUUUCAAGGCCUACCUUCACACUCAGUUCCUCUUUGCUUGACAUCAUGGGAAAAUCAAAAUAAAUCAGCCAAGACCUCAGAUAAAAAAUUGUAGACCUCCACAAGUCUGGUUCAUCCUUGGGAACAGUUUCCAAACACCUGAAGGUACCACAUUCACCUGUACAAACAAUAGUACGUAAGUAUAAACACCAUGGGACCACGCAGCCGUCAUACCGCUUAGGAAAGAGACACGCUCUGUCUCCUAGAGAUGAACGUACUUUGGUGCAAAAAGUGCAGAUCAAUCCCAGAACAACAGCAAAGGACCUUGUGAAGAUGCUGGAGGAAACAGGUACAAAAGUAUCUAUAUCCACAGUAAAACGAGUCCUGUAUCAACAUAACCUGAAAGGCCGCUCAGCAAGGAAGGUAGAAGCCACUGCUCCAAAACCACCAUAAAAAAGCCAGACUACGGUUUGCAACUGCACAUGGGGACAAAGAUCAUACUUUUUGGAGUCCUCUGGUCUGAUGAAACAAAAGUGGAACUGUUUGGCCAUAAUGGCCAUCGUUAUUUUUUCAGGAAAAAGGGGGAGUCUUGCAAGCCGGAGAACACCAUCCCAACCGUGAAGCACGGGGGUGGCAGCAUCAUGUUGUGGGAGUGCUUUGCUGCAGGAGGGACUGGUGCACAUCACAAAAUAGAUGGCAUCAUGAGGCAAGAAAAGUAUGUGGAUAUAUUGAAGCAACAUCUCAAGACAUCAGUCAGGAAGUUAAAGCUUGGUCACAAAUGGGUCUUCUAAAUGGACAAUGACCCCAAGUAUACUUCCAAAGUUGUGGCAAAAUGGCUUAAGGACAACAAAGUCAAGGUAUUGGAUUGGCCAACACAAAGCCCUGACCUCAAUCCCAUAGAAAAUGUAUGGGCAGAACUGAAAAAGUGUGAAUGAGCAAGGGGGCCUACAAACCCGACUCCGUUACACCAAUUCUGUCAGGAGGAAUGAGACAAAAUUCUCCCAACUUAUUAUGGGAAGCUUGUGGAAGGCUACCCAAAAUGUUUGACCCAAGUUAAAUAAUUUAAAGGCAAUGUUACCAAAUACUAAUUGAGUGUAUGUAAACUUCUGACCCACUGGGAAUGUGGGAAUCUUUCUCUCUACUUUUAUUCUGACAUUUCACAUUCUUAAAAUAAAGUGGUGAUCCUAACUGACCUAAGACAGGGAAUGUUUACUAUGAUUAAAUGUCAGCAAUUGUGAAAAACUGAGUUUAAAUGUAUUUGGCUCAGGUGUAUUGUAAACUUCCGACUUCAACUGUAUUAUUAUUUGUCAUGCUAUCCUUGAUAUGAUCCUGCUAUUGUUUGCUACACAUGCCCAUGUGUGUGCACAUGCAUCUGUCUAUCCAAUAUUAUCAUGGUUUGUUAUAAGAGAUAUUAUACUUUAGAAAUCCACAAUGACCUGGGGAUGUCAAAGUCUAAUAUUGACUAUCUUCCAUAUUCCUACAGAUACCUUGCAACUGGAGAUUCCUUCAAAACGAUUUGGUUACCAGGGCCAUCUGGGACUGCCUACCUGUGUCCUGCAGAACUUCAUGAGGAUGUAGAUGAGGACCAGGAGGGGAUCUGCAGGAUUUUUCAAGGAUGGGCGCUAACAACGCAGCACAGGAGGCAAUCCGUGUGCGGGAGAUCUUCACCUCCUACUUCUUCGAAGAGGAUGCUGUUCCUUGGCAACACCAAAGACUAGACUAUGCACAACCAAAGGCUCUUAAGAGCCAUCCACAUUGCAAUAAGUGUAUUCUUCCAUUUACUUCGCUAUGUCAACUGCAUUUAUUCAAUUCACAGUUUAGGUAAGGGUAAUGUCUGUACAAAAACAGAACAGGCUCCUUUAAGAGUCACCCAUAUUGAAAUAGAAGAACAAUUAGACACCCUAUAACCCACAGCUACACACUCGUGUAUCAAUCUGAUUGAUGGAUUGUGUUGUGCAGUAAGCAGGCUCAGGUGUAUAACUGUGGCUCCUUCCACCUUCAAAGAACAGGCAAGAGGGCCAACCAUGGAGAAUAGUAAGACAUGGUCAUUAUUUCUAUUUAUGUAGAAAAUAAUGUAGAAAACGAUAUAUUGUUUGUCAUCGUGUGUCUGUAUGUUUUUCAGUAUAAAGUACUUUUCAGCCACUUAGUGUGGACAACGGGUGAGACGACACACAGAUUCCUGUUGAACACUGUCUCUUCAACUACCUUAUUUUCUCAAUAACCGUCUCUCUCCUUCACUUCCUCCCUCUUCCCCCCUUCUGCCUAAAUCCUCUAGGUUAUAUCAGCUGUGUCGGUGAACCCCUACCGCAUCUGAACUGGCUACAUAGAGGGCACAGUAUGAUCAGAGGUAUGUCUUGAUGUUCACCAUCAGUUCACCACCUCACCCGCUCGGGCCAACUGGGGAGACACCACGAGAGACACUAUUAUACAAUUGUGAUGAACUGAGAGAAUAUUACAUUUAGUCGCACUGUAAUUCAUGAAUCAUAUGCUGUCAUCCCUGCUCCUCUUUUCCUUUCUGUCUUCUAUACUUUUUCUCACACCUCUCUCCUCAUCUCCUCUUUAUUCCUCUGUGUUUAUCAUGCACACCAGAUGUGCAUUGAACAACAGAUUGAACUUCUAUUUAUAAUACAAGAUUACAAUUAUAAUAUUUAUAAUGCAUGUAUUAUGUAUUUAUAACACUUGGAUAACUUCUUUCAAUAAAG